CUUUGGCGCCGGCCAAUGGGAGCGCGUCUUUUUCCCGGCGCCGCCUGUGUGUGGAGCUUUGUGUGCGUGAGGAAAGAGAGGAGGCGGAGGAAGCGGGAACGAGCAGGGCCGAGACCGGGACGCCGAGAACGAGCGGAGCGCCAGCGCCCCCUUCCUUUCCCCCCGACUCGGUGCCGCCCCCCUUCCCGCGCCCUCGGCGGCUCUCUCGAGGCCCUGCGGCUCCUCGGCCGCCCGGGACGGCACCCGGAGGGGAAGCGGCGGGGGGGAAGAGGCGGGGACCGAGGCCGGACGAGCGGGAAGCCUGCAGAAAUUGAGCCCGGGGAUCGAACGCGGCCUACUGCGGGGCCAGGCCCGCCCCCCUUGCCGAGCCUGGCUCGGGCCGGCCUGGCUCGGGCCUUCCCCGGCGUGACUCCCGCGUUUUGUGUCUCGGCGGCGAUCGGUCCGAUACGGCGGGGGGAGUUAGAAUGGAACUGACUGAAGGCCCUAUGAGAAAAAGGGAAAGCUAAGGAUGCUGGAGCAGAACAAUGGAUUUCUCCUUCUCUUUCAUGCAAGGGAUCAUGGGAAACACAAUUCAGCAACCACCUCAACUCAUUGAUUCGGCGAAUAACCGCCAAGAGGAUGCUUUUGAUGCCAACAGCGACAUCACGGAAGAUGGUCGACAGACGCCCUAUGAAGCUGCUCUUGCGUUGCAGCAAGGUUUUCAGUAUCCCACGCCAACAGCAGAGGACCUUCCGCCCCUCAUUAAUGGGUUUCCCCAAAUUGGCAUGUACGAGCCUCAGACCAAAUACCCAUCCUACAGUCAGUAUCCUAAUGGCUCUGCCAACGGCUUUGGCACCGUUAGAAACUUUAGUCCACCAGAGUAUUAUCAAAUGGAGAACUCUAACUUAAGGCCCCAUGAAAUUCUGGAAAAACCGUCGCCUCCUCAGCCCACGCCUCCCUCAGUAUCCCAAACGGUGAUUCCAAAGAAGACAGGCUCACCCGAAAUCAAACUAAAAAUAACCAAAACUAUCCAGAACGGCAGGGAAUUAUUUGAGUCCUCGCUGUGUGGGGAUCUUUUAAAUGAAGUACAAGCGAGCGAGUUUGCCAAGUCCAAGCAUGAAGGGAGAAAAGAGAAGCGGAAAAAAAGUGGCAAGCAUGACACUUCCCAUUCAGAAGAACGCAAGUCACGUAAGAUUCCCAAACUAGAGCCAGAGGAGCAAAAUCGACCAAAUGAAAGGCUUAGCACCCAGUCUGAAAAACCAAGAGAAGAAAUGGCAGCAUUGGAUGACACCCCGGCGCAGCAGGCUACGUCUUCAGUUUCCACACAAGAGGCGAGUGAUAGCAAGUUUGAGGUGGGAGAUCUUGUCUGGUCCAAAGUGGGGACAUAUCCUUGGUGGCCCUGUAUGGUUUCAAGAGAUCCUCAACUCGAAGUUCAUACUAAAAUUAAUACGAGAGGUGCACGAGAAUAUCAUGUUCAAUUCUUUAGCAACCAGCCUGAAAGGGCCUGGGUACAUGAAAAGCGGGUACGAGAAUAUAACGGACGUAAACAGUAUGAUCAGCUGGUGGCAGAGUCUGAGAAACAAAAGAUUCGCAAACCCAGGCCGCAGAGAGAACGCGCCCAGUGGGAUAUUGGCAUUGCCCAUGCUGAGACAGCGCUAAAAAUGAGUCUGGAAGAGAGGAUAGAGCAGUACACCUUCAUCUACGUAGAUAAAGAGCCAGAGGAGGCAUCAUCAAAAGCCAAACGGACUGUCAUGCCUAAGAUUGAGGCGAAAAAGAACCGCAAAAUUAAAUCAUCGCCAAACUCUCCGGCAGAACAGACCGAUGACAUUUUGGCCGCACCUUCCCCACCCAAAACGGAGGUCCGGAGGUAUAGUCAGAGGAGACAGUCCAGUCCAGAUGAAGAAGCCCCUCCGGUGAAAAUCCAGUGGAAAACUGCUGCCGCCAGAAAAUCCCUCCCAGCGUCAAUAACCAUGCACAAGGGAACGCUGGACCUUCAGAAAUGUAAUAUGUCUCCAGUUGUUAAAAUUGAACAAGUGUUUGCUCUUCAGAAUGCAGCUGGGAAUGGAAAAUUCAUUGAUCAGUUUGUUUACUCUGCAAAGGGCAUAGGAAACAAACCAGAGAUAAUCAUCAAAGGGCAUGACAAAGUCACUUCUGUCUCCAUCCCGCGAACUGAGAGAGCCUCCUCACAAAGUGCACCCUCUCCAGAAACAUCUGGGUUGGCAAGUUCUGUAGAAAAGAAGCAACAGAGAAGAUCAAUACGAACUCGCUCAGAGUCUGAGAAAUCCACUGAGGUUGUGCCAAAGAAGAAGAUCAAAAAGGAGCAGGUAGAAACAGCCCCACAGGCAGCAGUGAAGACUGGAUUACAAAAAGGUGCCAGUGAGAUUUCAGAUUCUUGUAAACCUCUAAAGAAAAGAAGUCGUGCCUCCACAGAUGUAGAAUUGGCUAACUCAGCUUACAGAGAUACCUCCGAUUCUGAUUCAAGAGGACUUAAUGAUUUACAGGGUAGUUUUGGAAAGCAGUCAGAUAGCCCAUCGGCCACCGCAGAUGCUGAUGCUUCUGACGUCCAGUCUGUGGAUUCAAGUUUGUCAAGAAGAGGUUCAGGGACUAAUAAGAGAGACACUGUUUGCCAGAUUUGCGAAAGCACCGGUGAAUCUCUGGUCUCCUGCGAAGGUGAAUGCUACAGGGUCUUCCAUAUAGAAUGCCUAGGAUUGAGCUCACAGCCCGAUAGGAAAUUUAUCUGCCUGGAGUGCAAAAAUGGGCAGCAUAUAUGCUUUUCCUGCAAACUUCCUGGCAAAGACGUGAAACGCUGCUCGGUCAAUGCAUGUGGCAAAUUCUACCACGAGGCCUGUGUCCGCAAGUUUACUACCGCCAUUUUUGAAUCCCGAGGAUUCCGUUGCCCUCAGCAUUGCUGCACUGCGUGCUCUAUGGACAAAGAUAUUCAUAAAGCAAGCAAAGGUCGCAUGGUGAGAUGUUUGAGAUGCCCCAUUGCCUAUCACUCAGGAGAUGGCUGUAUUGCUGCAGGAAGCUUGUUUGUGUCAUCCCACAUCCUCAUCUGUAGUAACCAUUCCAAAAGAAGCAAUCACUCCUCAUCAGCUGUAAAUGUAGGCUUUUGUUUCGUUUGUGCAAGAGGGCUGAUAGUGCAGGAUCAUUCAGACCCCCUGUUCAGUUCAUAUGCCAAUAAAUCUCACUAUCUACUGAAUGAAUCAAAUCGUGCUGAGUUGAUGAAAUUACCUAUGAUUCCUCCUUCUUCGUCAGCUUCCAAAAAGAAAUGUGAGAAAGGUGGGAAGCUGUUGUGCUGUGAAUCUUGUCCCGCAUCCUUCCACCCGGAAUGUCUUAACAUAGAGAUGCCAGAUGGCUCCUGGAACUGCAACGAUUGCAAAGCUGGCAAAAAGUUGCGAUACAAGCAGAUUGUUUGGGUCAAGCUUGGAAAUUACAGGUGGUGGCCAGCUGAGAUAUGCAAUCCCAGAUCUGUUCCUCUCAACAUCCAGGGCCUCAAACAUGAUGUUGGGGAUUUCCCAGUAUUUUUCUUUGGUUCACAUGACUACUACUGGGUGCAUCAGGGGAGAGUAUUCCCCUACGUUGAAGGAGAUAAGAGCUUUGCCGAAGGGCAAACUAAUAUUAACAAGACUUUCAAAAAAGCACUUGAAGAAGCAGCAAAACGCUUCCAGGAACUUAAAGCACAAAGAGAAAGUAAAGAAGCACUUGAGAUUGAGAGGAAUUCCCGAAAACCACCUCCCUAUAAACACAUAAAAUCCAAUAAAGUGGUAGGAAAAGUCCAGAUCCAAGUUGCGGACUUGUCCGAAAUCCCUCGGUGUAACUGUAAGCCAACGGACGAGAACCCUUGUGGCCUGGAGUCAGAGUGCUUAAAUCGAAUGCUGCAGUAUGAAUGUCAUCCUCACGUUUGCCCUGCGGGAGAGCGCUGCCAGAAUCAGUGUUUUACCAAAAGACUCUACCCGGAAGCAGAAAUUAUAAAAACUGAUAGACGCGGCUGGGGCCUGCGGACCAAACGGAACAUUAAAAAGGGUGAAUUUGUGAAUGAAUAUGUUGGUGAAUUAAUUGACGAGGAAGAAUGCCGAUUGCGAAUUAAGCGUGCCCAUGAGAACAACGUGACCAAUUUUUAUAUGUUAACUGUUACAAAGGACCGCAUAAUAGAUGCUGGACCAAAGGGCAACUAUUCUCGCUUCAUGAACCACAGCUGCAACCCCAACUGUGAAACCCAGAAGUGGACAGUCAACGGAGACGUCCGGGUGGGACUCUUUGCUCUGGGUGACAUUGCUGCAGGGAUGGAGUUAACGUUUAACUAUAAUUUGGAUUGUCUGGGCAAUGGCAGAACCGAGUGCCACUGUGGAGCAGAAAAUUGCAGUGGAUUCCUGGGAGUGAGGCCAAAGACGGCGUGCGCGACGGCAAAUGAAGAGAAGGCAAAGAACGCAAAGCUGAAACAGAAGAAACGGAAGAUAAAAAUGGAGCAGAAGCAGAUGCACGAAGAUAAUUGCUUUCAGUGUGGAGAUGGGGGUGAACUCGUCAUGUGUGACAAAAAAGACUGUCCCAAAGCAUAUCACCUCCUCUGCCUUAAUUUGACACAGCCACCCUUUGGGAAGUGGGAAUGCCCAUGGCACCAGUGUGCCAUCUGUGGCAACCCGGCGACUUCGUUUUGCGAGUUCUGCCCUCACUCUUACUGCAAAGAUCACGAAAAGGGAGCCCUGGUGUCCUCGGCCUUGGACGGACGCCUCUGCUGCUCUGAACACAACCCCAAAGCUCCUGUGGCUCCGGAGUAUUGGGGCAAGAUCAAGCGUCGACUGGAACAGCAAAAUCCGGAGGAAGCAUCGAAGGAGUGAAGAAGCCCUUUCACACCCACCAAAAAAAAAACAACAACAACAACAACCGCAACCCCAAAUUUGUUCCCGUUCAGGGUGACAAAUCCUUGUGAAUCUAGAUACAGUGCCAGGGGAAGCCUCCUCAGUCUUUAGAGCUGCCUCUAUGGGACUCAAUUGGGAUCGCUGGAUCUUGGAAGGCAGUUAAGGAGCCUGUGCAUCUGAUUAGAUCCAUUUGCCCUUGUGUGCGUCUUUCGGGCUCUGGAAGAUCAGAAAGAAGCAUCUUGGCAACACAAUUUUGUUAGAAGAGGGUUAGGGUUUGCAGAAAAGGACCUUGGAUUUAAGUCUGUUCUCUGCGUGUGGAAAAAAAAAAAAGAAACAUAGCGAAAAUAUUUAUUUAUUUAAUUUUUAAUGGACUUUUUGGAGGAUUUCUGGUUCUAAUACAAUCAGUGGGUCUGAAAAAGAGUAGCAGCACCAGCCUGGUUAUCUUAUCUCUGUAUGUGUCUUUUUUAUUAUUAUUAUUAUUAUUAUUUUCCUGUCUGGUUUUACAAUUACGGGGGGGGGGGAGAAAAAAAAUCCGAUAAAUCUUAUUGGGCAGUUCCAAGUGAGAUACUUCCAGUAACUUCAUAACGGCAAGAGGUUUUUUUGUUUUGUUUUGUUUUUGAGAUGGUGCAAUCCCUCUUUCCUUUUUUUUUUUGACUGAAUAAACGAUAAUCAUGAUACCUUCUCCCACAGAAAAAUAAAAUUAAAAAAAAUUAGGACUCCGUGAUUUGGGAAGGGCAUUCUUGACGUGAUGUGAAUUGGUCACUUUGGAAGCAUGUACUCCGGCAGCCUCUUGCAUAUGCGGUAUUUGCAGUUCUGCUUUCUUUCUAAAGGGCUUGUGCAGAAGAGUUUGGUAGAUUGUGCCUAUAAAAAUCUGGGUGGGGAAAAAAAAAUAAAAGCUGUGAGGAGGCUGGGGAAUAUUUCUCCUUUGGGCCCGGGAGUCUGGUUUCAUUAUGCAUAGGUCACUUUUCUGUCGCUAUUGAAUCCGAAGGAGACUUGAGCAGGAAAAGUCUCUGGAAGUGCUUUUACAACAGUGCUGUUGUAAUUCUCGCCACGUUAUGGGAAUCGGCAUGGAUCACAAGUUGGAUGUUCGGGCUCUUCUUUCGCAAGGCCUUCAGUUCUUCUUUUAUGAAUCUUGUACCAUGCAGAAUCUGUGCUCUUAACACGGUUUCCACAGUAAUAGAUGCUGAUGAAGAUUUAUCUUUUUGAAUCUGAAGGGCAGACUUUGGCUGCCAGUCGGUGUAUUUUAUAUGGCCAGUUUUGUUCUUAUCUCAUCUGAUUUUGACGUUGGUUAUUCAAAGGAAUCACGUCAUUGGAUAGGAAGGGUCUACCUUACAAAGCCAUGUGUGUAUUUCAUAAAGACUAGUUUAUUAAUCUUUCUAGAAGAGCAGGCACUGAAAUUACAUAACUUGUUCCCAUUGGGUAUUCCAAGUGUCUCCUGAAAUACUUGUUUUUAUUUAAGACGCUUAGUCCAAUAAUGACUGUAUAUUGAUUUAUAUGAGCAUAACAGAUUAGGCAAUUCCAGGAAAUAGACAGUAUUUUAUGAUGCCAGUGACUCCUUUCUUAGUUUUUUUAUUAGUUUUUUUUUAUUAUUCUUUUUAAAAGCCUAGAGAGGAAAAGCAAAUACAGCUUCUAUUUUCCUAAUCUGCAUAGGCGUAAAAAUAAGGCAGCACACUACAUUCCUUUAAAGCACCUGAGAUGUGUCUCAGUUUUCAUUCAGUUUGCAAAUUCCUUCGCAGAUCACUGACUUUGUUUCUUUGUACUGCAUAAGCUUCAAAAUCAUGUGGACUAAUUAAAUAUGAAGCCCUAAAAGAAGAUGAUGCAGAUUUGAUAACACUAAUGAACAUUGAAAGUAAUGUUUUGAGAACACUACAAUUUAUAUAUGUAUAUGUAGGUUUAGAUUGUAGAAAAUUUUUUUAUUACAUGUUUGAUUUUGGGGGGGGGAAGGGGAAAUGGGGAAAAAAAUAAGGUCAUAAGGAAAGAGAUUUUUUUCAGAGAGGAUUUUAUCCUAAUCUAGGAAUUCUAAAUUCAGAAUUCUCGUCUUUACUUUCUUUCAUACACCCCGUUAUUCCUCGACAGACUGGGAAUUUCUACAGAGUGCCCAGAUUUCGUGGCAGUGCAUCUUGAGAGGGCAAAUAAUAAAAUUACUGAACAGAUGCCACUGAAGUUAAGAUGAAGUUUGGAAAUACUGCAACUCCAAUCUGUAAACGGCAUUAAAGAUCAGGCUGUGCGUUGUAGCCCCUUGGACUAGAUCAUGUCCUCCAAAUCAUGUUUUCCUUUCUUUUUAGUCCCAUUUCCCCUCCUCUUAUCUCUCCCUCCUGUACUGUUGUGAUUCUUUAUCUUUUCAUUGUGCUUCAAAGAAACUUGCAAGUCAUUUGGUUGGAGAGAUCUUUUGUCCUUAAUAAGGGAGGAUCCAGCAUCAUGAUUAUAACUUGCAUGUCACCUCAAGUGCAAUUCUGCAAGGAAAAGUGGCCAAAAGAGUUGAUAAGUAGAAGGGUCAUUGGUGGGUGGUCAGUAUUCAGAGCAAAUCUUCCUUGGGCCACACCUGAAUUGGCCCAGUCCUGAGAAGAAGAAGGACACCCCAUUGUCAUGUCAAUUUAAAUUAUUGUUUCAGAUUUUUUUUUUCCAUUAAUGGAUGCAAAAGUAAAGCAUCUAUUUUAUUGGGUGAUAUUUUUUCUUAGAAUAAGAAAAUAAUAAGAUUUCGAACCCAUAAAGUUUCUUCAUUAAGAUGUUUCAAACCUUAGCUAGCUCAUCCCCUAGUAGAUUUUAAAUGUUUAUUCAUUGUUGAGAAACACUGCCUUAGCUCUUGUUUUAUUUGUUUAUUUUUUUAAAGAAGUAGAAUGGGAAAGUUUUCUUUGAAAAUGCAGUCCUACCAUAAUCAAUAUGACAUCCUUAAGAAACAGAAAAAAACAGAGUAUGAAUAGAGUGGUGGUGGUGGGGAGUUGUGAGCAAUGGCAAUAUUAAAGUUUCCUGGAGUCUCUCCCUCCUUUCUCCCAAUUUCUAAUUAUUCAGAGCACAGAAAAAAAAUUAUAAACCUAGCACUUGGUUUUGUUUUAUCAAAUUCUAAACAUAGAAUUUGGUCUGUUUGCCUCUGCAAAAACAGGGUUGAAGUAUUGCUAUGAAAGAUUGAAGUUGAGCCAAAUGAAGGCUGACUUUCUUCUCCGAAUAUAGGCCCGCAAACAGGCAUUUCUUUCCCCUCCCAUCCUAUUGUGUGUGCUUGACUUCUAAAAUGUGCCCCACUCUCUCCAUCUUUUCCUAAUUACUGUGUAAGGUAGGAUGCGAAGAGUUGUUCUUUUCAAACAACUCAUACAAAUGGGGUAACCACUGCUAUGAUUAUCUUGUACCCACUUAUGAUAGCAUUUAAGUUUCCCUGAGAUAACGUGUCCUUGCUCUGCACACCUCUGUGGGACAAACUCAUUGAACACAGCGGUACUUCUUGCAGAGUGGACAUGGCAUAGUAUUGUGCUGUGAAUUUGGUGGAAUGUAAUUUCUGAGUGGGCACACACCUAGCACUGUUGUUUUUGUAUGCACAAGACAUGCUAGGGGUUCCGUAGAGAAGUGGUUCCAUUUUUGCUUUGGCCCAUAGAGCACGCACUUUAACCAGGAGUGGAAAAUUGGCUAGAAUACUGCAGUUUUGUGUUCUUGCAAUGGGGGGGGGGGAAGAUGCUCUAGAACUUGAAAUUGCAACCUGUAGAAUACAGAAAUCUUUUGGCUGUAUUGGCAUAACUCUGACUCAAGACCGUGGAAUGUUUUUGCAUUGCUGCCUUGGUUUAAAUCUAUGCCUCAAGGAAACAUGUUUUUGUCUGCAGGCAAAUGAAAAUAUAAAUGAAAUGAAAACACCUGGCUAGGUGAGCAAUUUAAAUAAAAUUGUUUUUACGCUUAGAUUUCAAGCAGGUAUACCUGGGGAUACACAGGUAGGAUAGUAAUGCCUCAAUAUUUUUAGACCGACAGCUGCUUCAUCAAACACUCCAUGGGUUGCAAUUCAUCCAAGAAAUGGGAAAAAAAUCAAGAAACAUUUCUGUCAUUUUUCUGGUUUGAGCUUUGAGGAAUGAAAUAAGAAACAAAA